rnacentral:tRNA from 1 species
GGUCUGUUAGCUCAGUGGGAGAGUACUUGCUUGACAGGCAAGGUGUCACUGGUUCGAAUCCAGUACAGACCAUCA